rnacentral:sRNA from 1 species
GUAUGCAACAUUCGAUCAGUGUCCAUGAAGGUUCUCCAGUUACUAAUGAAAAAUGUAUGCUCCUGAGACAACUCAUCGUGCCUUGAUAAAUAAUCAAUUCCAUGGACAGUGGUCGAUAUAAGAUCCUCUGAUUUCUAAGAAAGACCAGACCUCUGAUUACAUAUCACCGACAACUUCUGCUUCUUUCCAUUUAAGAUAUCUUAUGAUUUCUAAGAAAGACCAGACCUCUGAUAGGACUGAAUCUUUCAAAUACAAAGUCAUACGGAAUUUUCAUGUGACUAGUGGCGGCUACAUGAGACGACUUCUCAUCCGGAUUAUGAGGCUGAGGUGAGGAGAAGAAAAAUACUUCAUCGUUGUUUUUGCAGGCAAACAAGAGCUGUGGGCGAGCCAAAGAUCUGGUCAAGAACAUCACGGUAAAAUAGGGAUGGCCAAGUAUGGAAGCCCAUAGCUUUGAUAACAUCUCGCUAUAAAUUUUUUUUUUUUUUGAAA